AGAGUUUGAUCCUGGCUCAGGACGAACGCUGGCGGCAUGCUUAACACAUGCAAGUCGCACGGUCGGGGGCAACCCCGGCAGUGGCGGACGGGUGAGUAACGCGUAGGCAUCUAUCUCCGGGUGGGGGAUAACCGUGGGAAACUACGGCUAAUACCGCAUGACACCUGCGGGUCAAAGGCGCGAGUCGCCUGGAGAGGAGC
rnacentral:rRNA from 1 species